UACGUGAGGGGCGAACGUUGUUCGGUGUCACUGGGCUUAAAGGGUGCGUAGGUGGUUUCGUAAGUAAGGUGUGAAAGCCCUCGGCUUACCCGGGGAAUUGCGCCUUAUACUGCGAGACUUGAGGAUUUCAGGGGAAUGGGGAACUCCAGGUGUAGCGGUGAAAUGCGCAAAUAUCUGGGGGAAGGCCGGCGGCGAAGGCGCCAUUCUGGGAAAUUCCUGACACUGAGGCACGAAAGCGUGGGGAGCAAACAGG
rnacentral:rRNA from 1 species